ensembl:lncRNA
ACAGUUGUAGACUAGAAAGUGCAUUUUCUGAAGAAACUGCAGUGUGAAUGCUUGAAUCUGAAUGUAUGCACUGAAAUGAAUUAAUUGCUGAAUUUUGAGUUAAAAAUAUUGAAUGAGAUUUAAAAAAAAACAAAAAAAAAAAACGAAUUUAACCUUAAAACAAAGGUGCUGAACUGCUAAAAGCUGAAGGUUACACAGAAGAAGGAGUUGGAAAAAAACUGAAAAUGUUUUAAAUGUAAAUUAGAAAACCCUAAGAAAUGAGAAAAGAACAUUUAGAGUCAGAAAACAUCUGAAUGAAUAUUAAAAGGUCAUAUUCUUUGAAUCACUGAAUGACUCAAAUGUGAUCCCUCCACUUUGAUCCACACAGUUUAAAAAGUUUAAAUGCCUGAGCUUUGAAAGAUACGAUGUUGGAAAAAGAACAACGAUGGCGACGUUUUGAGGGUAAAAUGAUGGCUUUAACACUGUGGACACAGCAGCAGUUGAAAGAGAAGUGUUUAAGAUGAAUCUUGGCAGAGUGAGAGAGAGAGCUCGUUAAGCAGGCAGGUGUGAGCCUGGUUGCUAUAGUGACCGCACCCAAUGGCUCCAUACACACGUACACAGACAUGCGCCUCACUUUUGCUGCUUAAAAUGAACAGAAAAGUCAGGCCGAAACAAAUCGUUCCCAAAUGAAAAGUAAAAGUCGUAUUGACAAAAUUCUUUCACCGUGAGCGACAGCAGCUUCUAGUCUACCUAAUUCUCAGUUUUCAUGUCUGUGGAGUUUAUUAUAUGGACGUGGUGACAGUGGAAAGACCCAAUGCUCUUCUGAUUUUCAAACGAACCUUCUGAGCCAUUUUAACAUUAGAGUCUAUGGAAGAGUUGGAGGGAGGAGGCUGUGCAUUGGUGACAUUUACGAAAGAACCAUAACACCUAGGACAAUAGUAAACACAUUGGAUGAAAGAGGACAGCGAUGGCUACGUUUUGAGGGUAAAAUCAUACCUGUAGAGCAAACGCUGCGGACACAGCAGCAGUUUUAAAAAAGAUUUUAAGAUUAAUUUUUUUGCUCCUCUCACUCUAGCAGUUGAGCUGCCUCACUCUAGCCCCAACAUUCCGUCCCAUACACACCCAUUAUAAACUCUGAAACGGGUGAAAAAACAUCAUGAAACUUAAACUGGAACUGAAGAAAAAGUAUAAUAGAUAUUGAAAAGAUAAAUACAAGUUCAAUAGUUGAAUGUCUUGUCUUCGUUUUAAAGUUUGAAUGGUGGCUCUAUGUCAACGUAUGUGGAAGUAGUAGGAGUUUAAAAAUGAGUAAGUUGAAUGAGAAUUUGAAGGGUCUCCCCAUUGAAAUACAUGGGAAAUUUUUGUUGAAUAAAGUUGAAUAAAAUUAAAAAUAUAAAUGUUAAAAAUGAGAAAAGUAGAAGCAGUCAUGUCCAAAAGAAUAGGAAUCUAACGGUGUUUGAAUGGUUUUUCUAAGUUGAACGGUUUUGAAGGAGUAGGAGUACAAAAAACGUACGGAAUAGAUAAAAUAUAAUAAUAAUAAAG